AACUAACAAGGAUUCCCCUAGUAACUGCGAGUGAAGCGGGAAAAGCUCAAAUUUAAAAUCUGGUGGUCUCUGGCCAUCCGAGUUGUAAUCUAGAGAAGUGUUAUCCGCGCUGGACCGUGUACAAGUCUCCUGGAAUGGAGCGUCAUAGAGGGUGAGAAUCCCGUCUUUGAUACGGACUGCCAGGGCUUUGUGAUGCGCUCUCAAAGAGUCGAGUUGUUUGGGAAUGCAGCUCAAAAUGGGUGGUAAAUUCCAUCUAAAGCUAAAUAUUGGCGAGAGACCGAUAGCGAACAAGUACCGUGAGGGAAAGAUGAAAAGAACUUUGGAAAGAGAGUUAAACAGUACGUGAAAUUGCUGAAAGGGAAACGCUUGAAGUCAGUCGCGUUGUCUGGGACUCAACCUUGCUUUUGCUGGGCGUACUUUCCAGAUGACGGGUCAGCAUCAAUUUUGACCGUUGGAUAAAGUCUAGAGGAAUGUGGCAUCUUCGGAUGUGUUAUAGCCUUUGGUCGCAUACAACGGUUGGGAUUGAGGAACUCAGCACGCCGCAAGGCCGGGUACUUGUACCACGUUCGUGCUUAGGAUGCUGGCAUAAUGGCUUUAAUCGACCCGUCUUGAAACACGGACCAAGGAGUCUAACAUGCCUGCGAGUAUUUGGGUGGAAAACCCGAGUGCGUAAUGAAAGUGAAAGUUGAGAUCCUUGUCAUGGGGAGCAUCGACGCCCGGACCAGACCUUUUGUGACGGAUCUGCGGUAGAGCAUGUAUGUUGGGACCCGAAAGAUGGUGAACUAUGCCUGAAUAGGGUGAAGCCAGAGGAAACUCUGGUGGAGGCUCGUAGCGAUUCUGACGUGCAAAUCGAUCGUCAAAUUUGGGUAUAGGGGCGAAAGACUAAUCGAACCAUCUAGUAGCUGGUC
rnacentral:rRNA from 1 species